rnacentral:rRNA from 1 species
UGGGGAAUAUUGGACAAUGGGCGCAAGCCUGAUCCAGCCAUGCCGCGUGAGUGAUGAAGGCCUUAGGGUUGUAAAGCUCUUUCGACGGGGACGAUAAUGACGGUACCCGUAGAAGAAGCCCCGGCUAACUUCGUGCCAGCAGCCGCGGUAAUACGAAGGGGGCUAGCGUUGCUCGGAAUCACUGGGCGUAAAGGGCGCGUAGGCGGACGUUUAAGUCAGAGGUGAAAGCCCAGGGCUCAACCCUGGAAUGGCCUUUGAUACUGGACGUCUUGAGUCUGGUAGAGGUUGGUGGAACUGCGAGUGUAGAGGUGAAAUUCGUAGAUAUUCGCAAGAACACCGGUGGCGAAGGCGGCCAACUGGACCAGAACUGACGCUGAGGCGCGAAAGCGUGGGGAGCAAAACAGGAUUAGAUACCCUGGUAGUCCACGCCGUAAAACGAUGGAUGCUAGCCCGUUGGCCGGUUUACCGGUCAGUGGCGCAGCUAACGCGUUAAGCAUCCCGCCUGGGGAGUACGGCCGCAAGGUUAAAAC